rnacentral:lncRNA from 1 species
GAAAGCAGGGGAAAAGAUGUCAAGGAUCAGGACCUGAACACCCUCCAUCGGGGCACCCAGAGGUUAACAUGCUACUGUGCUCCCUACAGAGAAAGCUGGCUCCCAUAUCAGGCCCUCUGGCUUCUGCCAAGGAUCUGGGGGUAGGUGUUGGUGUCCCAGACACAUCCAUUCUGACACAGAGGGAGGUACAGUGCAGUCAUGCUGUUGGCCCAGGUGCACAGCACAUGGGCAGUAGCAGGGAGGGGCAGGCUCCAGUGCAGGCUUGCCACCUACCCCCACCCUGGUCCAUUCAUGAGGAAUGACUUUCCUCUGGGGAGGGGCCCUGUGGGGGUGGCAGGCAGAGCAGGGCCCUCUCCUGAGGGCUCCCUCUGCCCCCAGGCUCAGAGCGGGACCACCCUAGGGAAAUGUUCAUCUCUCCUGCGGUCUUGUCGGAACCCCUUCAAGGUCAUCGCUCCACAGCACUCCAAGUGCUUCCUCGUAUCCAGCCUUAGUCAGUCCUCAUGUUGCACUUGAUUCAUUUAUCAGAGGACAAGUUGAGGGCCCCAUUAUCCUGCCACCCAGUGUGACAUCACCGAGCUUCCCUCGGGCAUGUUCCCUCCCUGGGACUGCCCAGCCGGCACAGGAAAUGGCUGCUGGAUGAAUGUGCAAGUGAGUAAGUGUCUUGGAUCCUCCUCCCAUGGGAACACUAAGCGGCUAAGGAGUGGACCAGCUCCCCGGGGUCCAGGCUGAAACGGAGGCAGAAACAGGGACCAAGGAGGCAAACAGGCUCAAGAGAGCAACAGGACUGGGGACAGAGAUAAAGCAGGUGCACCCCCAGAGAGCCAAGUGUCCAAGAGCUCAGGACGGCUGCGCUGAGGGCCUCAGCCACAGAUGGCCUGAAGCAAGCAGGGCCCGCUGGGGAGAGCAUGGCAGAAACGGGGUGGGAUAGGAGGAGCUCAGGACACGGGGCCAUGAGAUGGGAGCCCAAAACCCAGGGGUGGGGGACCACAGUCCAGUAAGCGUGGCCCGGCCCAAGGUCACAGAGCAAGGACCCAGGGCCCCAGCCUCUCAGCCAUGACCUGGCCCUCUGUCCCCCAGCAGGGAACCUUAGCCAGGCCCAGUGCUGAGGUAGGAAUUUCUACAGGUAAGGAGGACACAGACGGUCAGAGAGACCACUGGCCCCAGAGUGCACAGGGGCUGCGCAUGAUGGUUGUGACUGCGUUCUGGUGCAGACUAACUGAAGAGCAGAGAUGAGGGAGAGAAGAGAAGGAGAGCCUUGGGCACCCCAACAGAGCAAGUCCCAGGCUGAGCCGCCCUCACCCUCUCGGCCCUACCUACCUACCUUCCACCUGGAUCCAGCUCAGUGCUGAUCACACAGUUUGCUGAAGGGAUAGAGCUGGGGAAUGUCAGAAAUGGGGAAACUGAGUCAGCUUCCAGGCCUCUUAAGUCCUUGACUGGGGCUCACCUGAUCCAGCCAGAGGCAAGGGAGACCUAAGCCACUCUGGAGCCUCCAUUUCCUGAUCUGUAACUCGGGGCUUGUUGUCCACUGGGGCCUCACUUCCCCAGACUGUGGCCCCCAUCCUUCUCCAGACCUCCUCCCUGCUCUAGCCCAGGGCCUCGCUUAGACCCCCACCCCCAGGGGAGCCUUGACAGAGGCCCAUGCCCACCCUUCCUUGUACACGCCUGAGCACGGCUGAUUCCUCCCUGUGAGCCCAGGCCAAUAAUGUGCUCUUCAUGCCACAAAGCUGAAAAGCACUCAGGAACCAGGUGCAAUCGGCCUAAGGGACCUGUCCAAGGCCACCCAGCCCUUAAGAAGCAAAGAAGGGCUGACCUGUCACUACCCACUGAUAUCUCAGGACCUGCAGGGGCAGGGUUAAAUGCACAUUCCCCUCUCACCCACACGGCAGCAAGAGAAAGAGUUAGGGUCCUGGGGGCUGCAAUCUGGGCAAUGCCUAAGCAGACAGCCUCAGACAAUGAAGGGCGAGUCAGGACUCAGUUGUGUCAACUUGGUAUAUACAACCUCUCCAAGCCUUGAUUUCAGCAGAAGCCCACAGAGAAAGCCCUGAUGCCUCUGCCUGCCAGUGCCUAAGGGCUGGGGAAAUGCCACCUGCCCCAGCUUCAUCCAGAAACUGUGGCUGCUCCCUCCCAUCUGCGGGGCACCUUGAUUAGUCUAAGUGGCCAGCAGACCCCAAGCAGAACCAGGCCAGUGCCUCACACAGAGCAGGCACUAGGAUGCCUGUCGACAGCACUCCUUCCCCUCCUUCCCAGGCCCCAAGCCCUUAUCGGACACGACUCAUUUUAAAGAAAAAAUAAUAUUUAUUUGCAAUAUAAACAAAGUCCCGUUGUUGGUUCGGGAUAUAUAUAUAUAUGUAUGUGUGUGUAUAUAUAUACGUAGGGUCACAAAUCUUCCUUCAUAAGAUCAUAAAGCAAAACUGGCCACCUUCUGGCAUACCCUCAUUUACACAAAUCUGGUACAUCUUUCUGGGUUUUCUUUUUAAAAAUAAAAGAGAGAAAAAGAGAACCAUGUACAGCAUGGAAGCUUGUUGUCAAUUUCUCGACUGUGGCAAGAUUUUAAUCUGCUGCGCUAAAGAAUCCCUGAAAGCCACCCCCGUGAGGUAAGAAGCAGUGGGGCAGAGUUUUUCUGUGGCCUCACUCACAUGCUGAGUGCUGCUCCGUCAGGGACCCUGGCCUGACUCCUCUGCCUGCCCCAGGCCCCCAUGCAGUCCUGACACCUGGUGGAACUGAGGCUGGAGAAGGAACAAAACUGGAGGAAGAUAACGGAAUCCGUGGCUUCGUUCUGUGGAGGCAGGGGGAAGUGAACAGAGCCUUACCCCCCUUCUGCUGGUCCAUCCUUGCCCCACUUGCCCCCGCCCUAGGGUUGAAAUGGGUGCAAGUCUCCUGGCAGUAGAAGGCAUGGGCAAGAUGAGGGCAGGGCAAGCUUCCAAGGGGACAAGGGGGCUGGGAGUGGCCAGACCAAAGCAACAGCUAGGGAGAAGGAAGAACCUGGAGGUCGGGCUGGGCCCCACCACCUAAUGUCUCCCCAGCCACUGGGCCUCCACUCCCAGUUACAACAAGAGAGAGGAAAGGAAGAGAGAGGGAGGGGGGGAGAGAGAAAGAAAGAGAGAGAGAGGGAGAGAGAGAAAGAGAGAGAGGGAGAGGAAGAGAGAGAGACAGACAGACAGACAGAAGUAGUGGCUAAGUAUAUAAAAGGGCUCAGAGCCCAGGCCUUCUUAGGGGCUGACCCCAGAGGGCUAAUGCUACUGCCUGGCAGCCCCCUGCGGCCCACCUCCUGGGGGACAGCGGCAGGGCCCCAGGGUCCCCACCUUCUGCCUCAGGGAGGUCUGCAGGGACCACCAGAGGGAUGGAUGAGACGGCAGAAAAUGCAAAGACCACCAUCCAGCCCACCAAUCACAACUUGCAGCAGUCAUCACAGGCGAAUGCAGAGCUAAGUCAGACUGGGCCAAGGGUGGGAGGCGGCACGACUGGGGGUCCCAAUACCUGAAGAGCAGUAAGCCACCCCUUCAAGAAGGGCCCGCUGAGGAAACAGAGGCUUCACACAUGUGCAAAACGCAUUUGGUCAAGGUCAACAUGGCGUCUGUCUUUUCCAUUAAAAAACAAAAACAAAAACAAACACGAUACUUGCUUUUUGAAAUUGAACGAAAAACAAAACUGAACAUUUCUCUCUCUUGCAGGAUCAGGAAAGGGAUGAAAUACUGGGUUAUACAAUCCACUGUUGCAUGUAGCCUGAAAAUAACACUUUUUGUUAAAAAAAAAAAAAAAAAA